rnacentral:lncRNA from 1 species
AAAAAACCUAAAAAUGCAAAAAUAAAAAUAGAAAGAAAGAGAAAGGAAUGAACUCCCCUUGGGUUGCCUCCCAAGCAGCGCCUUUGUUUAUUUUCGUUGGCUCGACCCAAUAUUUGUUUCUUUAGCCCGCAUUCAGCCAGGGCGUUGUCAACCUUCUUCGCAUUUCACCAAACUCAUUGGAAGUGGUCACUGGUGGUGUCCCAUAAUCCUGAAAAUCAUCAAAAGCAGCACAAAUGUCAGUAUAUUCCCCAUUAUCAUACCCUGC